AGCUUAUCGGACGAUCCGGCGACGAAGUAAAGGAUCGUAAACCGCUUAACAUUGAGGAUCUUCUUGCCGAGUCUUCAGGUUACAGCAAGCAGCUCUCGGGCCACAAAAAAGGCCAUUCAUCUAAGAAGAAGAGCGGCCACAGCGGCGAUAGCUUCCACAAAGGCGCCCAUCUUAAAGACUACGCAAAACAACACGAAAAAAAGCACCACACCGAGAAGGGAAAGAAAUACGGUGGUGGUGAGCAUAAAGACCAUCAUGAACAUCACUACCACGAGCACGCCGAGGGAAAGAAGGGACAUAAGGAAGGGUUCAAAAAACAUACGAAC